GCAAAAGUGAAUUCUAAGUGUCAAAUUCAUUACUUGUUUGCUAUCGCUUUAAGAACUUUUGUUUAUCCUUAACCUUUCUUUGUUAGCCAAUACCCCUUAGCCCCGUUACAAUCCUUAACUUCUAUCUUGAGUGUUAUGUAUUUCAAUAUGUGGAGUUUGGGAUUGGUUUGAGCAUAUGGUGUCCCUGGUUCUCGCAUCUAAGUAGUAGCGUUCCAUUCAUGAGAUCAU
rnacentral:lncRNA from 1 species